GAUGAACGCUAGCGGCAGGCCUAACACAUGCAAGUCGGACGGUAACAGUCCCGCCUUCGGGCGGGAGCUGACGAGUGGCGCACGGGUGCGGAACGCGUAUCGAACCUGCCCCCUUCAGGGGAACAGCCCAGGGAAACUUGGAUUAAUGCCCCAUGGCAACACGGGACCACAUGGUCCUGUGUUUAAAGAUUUAUCGGAAGGGGAUGGCGAUGCGUGCCAUUAGCUGGUUGGUAAGGUAACGGCUUACCAAGGCAACGAUGGCUAGGGGCCCUGAGAGGGGGAUCCCCCACACUGGUACUGAGACACGGACCAGACUCCUACGGGAGGCAGCAGUGAGGAAUAUUGGACAAUGGCCGGAAGGUUGAUCCAGCCAUGCCGCGU
rnacentral:rRNA from 1 species